UCGGGAAUUUUGGGCAAUGGGCGAAAGCCUGACCCAGCAACGCCGCGUGAGGGAUGAAGUUUUUCGGAAUGUAAACUUCGUAAGAAUAGGAAGAAUAAAUGACGGUACUAUUUGUAAGGUCCGGCUAACUACGUG
rnacentral:rRNA from 1 species